rnacentral:rRNA from 1 species
UGCGUAGGGUGCAAGCGUUGUCCGGAAUUAUUGGGCGUAAAGAGCUCGUAGGCGGUUUGUCGCGUCGGCUGUGAAAACUCGGGGCUCAACCCCGAGCCUGCAGUCGAUACGGGCAGACUAGAGUGCUGUAGGGGAGACUGGAAUUCCUGGUGUAGCGGUGAAAUGCGCAGAUAUCAGGAGGAACACCGGUGGCGAAGGCGGGUCUCUGGGCAGUAACUGACGCUGAGGAGCGAAAGCGUGGGGAGCGAACAGG